rnacentral:rRNA from 1 species
CCGUUCCAGUGNCCGUAGGGAAAGCCGUUAAGCCCACCGCCUGGGGAGUACGGUCGCAAAGGCUGAAACUUAAAGGAAUUGGCGGGGGAGCACUGCAACGGGAGGAGCGUGCGGUUUAAUUGGAUUCAACGCCGGGAAGCUCACCGGGGGAGACUGCCGUAUGUGGGCCAGGCUGAAGACCUUGCCCGAACAAUAGGCAGAGAGGUGGUGCAUGGCCGCCGUCAGCUCGUACCGUAGGGCGUUCUGUUAAGUCAGGUAACGAGCGAGACCCCCGCCCCUAGUUGCGACUUGUCUCUCCGGAGGCAAGGCACACUAGGGNGACCGCUGGCGCUAAGCCAGAGGAAGGAGGGGGCAACGGUAGGUCAGUAUGCCCUGAAUCCCUCGGGCUACACGCGCGCUACAAAGGCUGGGACAAUGGGUUGCCACCCCGAAAGGGGGAGCUAAUCCCUAAACCCAGUCGUAGUUCGGACCGAGGGCUGCAACUCGCCCUCGUGAAGGUGGAUUCCGUAGUAAUNNNNNCUUNACAAAUGGCGCGUGAAUA